rnacentral:rRNA from 1 species
UACGUAGGGGGCAAGCGUUGUCCGGAUUUAUUGGGCGUAAAGCGCUCGCAGGUGGUUCGUUGCGUCGUGCGUGAAAGACCCCGGCUCAACUGGGGAGGGUCGUGCGAUACGGGCGAACUGGAGGCCAGUAGGGGGAUGCGGAAUUCCGGGUGUAGUGGUGGAAUGCGUAGAGAUCCGGAGGAACACCAGCGGCGAAGGCGGCAUCCUGGACUGGUCCUGACACUCAGGAGCGAAAGCGUGGGGAGCAAACGGG